rnacentral:rRNA from 1 species
CAUUACCGAGUUUACAACUCCCAAACCCAAUGUGAACCAUACCAAACUGUUGCCUCGGCGGGGUCACGCCCCGGGCGCGUCGCAGCCCCGGAACCAGGCGCCCGCCGGAGGGACCAACCAAACUCUUUUCUGUAGUCCCCUCGCGGACGUUAUUUCUUACAGCUCUGAGCAAAAAUUCAAAAUGAAUCAAAACUUUCAACAACGGAUCUCUUGGUUCUGGCAUCGAUGAAGAACGCAGCGAAAUGCGAUAAGUAAUGUGAAUUGCAGAAUUCAGUGAAUCAUCGAAUCUUUGAACGCACAUUGCGCCCGCCAGUAUUCUGGCGGGCAUGCCUGUCCGAGCGUCAUUUCAACCCUCGAACCCCUCCGGGGGGUCGGCGUUGGGGACCUCGGGAGCCCCUAAGACGGGAUCCCGGCCCCGAAAUACAGUGGCGGUCUCGCCGCAGCCUCUCCUGCGCAGUAGUUUGCACAACUCGCACCGGGAGCGCGGCGCGUCCACGUCCGUAAAACACCCCAACUUCUGAAAUGUUGACCUCGGAUCAGGUACGAAUACACGCUGAACUUAAGCAUAUC